GAUGAACGCUGGCGGCGUGCCUAAUACAUGCAAGUCGAGCGAACAGACGAGGAGCUUGCUCCUCUGACGUUAGCGGCGGACGGGUGAGUAACACGUGGAUAACCUACCUAUAAGACUGGGAUAACUUCGGGAAACCGGAGCUAAUACCGGAUAAUAUAUUGAACCGCAUGGUUCAAUAGUGAAAGACGGUUUUGCUGUCACUUAUAGAUGGAUCCGAGCCGCAUUAGCUAGUUGGUAAGGUAACGGCUUACCAAGGCAACGAUGCGUAGCCGACCUGAGAGGGUGAUCGGCCAAACUGGAACUGAGACACGGUCCAGACUCCUACGGGAGGCAGCAGUAGGGAAUCUUCCGCAAUGGGCGAAAGCCUGACGGAGCAACGCCGCGUGAGUGAUGAAGGUCUUCGGAUCGUAAAACUCUGUUAUUAGGGAAGAACAAAUGUGUAAGUAACUAUGCACGUCUUGACGGUACCUAAUCAGAAAGCCACGGCUAACUACGUG
rnacentral:rRNA from 1 species